UACGGAGGGUGCUAGCGUUGUUCGGAAUUACUGGGCGUAAAGAGCGCGUAGGCGGCUAUGUAAGUUGGAAGUGAAAUCCCGGAGCUUAACUUCGGAACUGCUUUCAAGACUGCAUGGCUAGAAGAUGGUAGGGGAUAUUGGAAUUCCUAGUGUAGAGGUGAAAUUCGUAGAUAUUAGGAGGAACACCGGAGGCGAAAGCGGAUAUCUGGACCAAACUUGACGCUGUGGCGCGAAAGCGUGGGGAGCAAACAGG
rnacentral:rRNA from 1 species